UUGGAGGGCAAGUCUGGUGCCAGCAGCCGCGGUAAUUCCAGCUCCAAUAGCGUAUAUUAAAGUUGUUGCAGUUAAAAAGCUCGUAGUUGAACCUCGGGAUCAAUGGAUCGGUCAUGCCAAUGGUAUGUACUGGUCAUAUUGGUUCUCACCUUCUAAGGAACCAUGAUGUCAUUCAUUUGAUGUUGUGGGGAAUUAGGACUGUUACCUUGAAAAAAUUAGAGUGUUUAAAGCAGGCUAACGCUUGAAUACAUUAGCAUGGAAUAAUGAAAUAGGACAUCGCAUUCUAUUUUGUUGGUUUCUAGGAUCGAUGUAAUGAUUAAUAGGGAUAGUUGGGGGCAUUAGUAUUCAAUUGUCAGAGGUGAAAUUCUUGGAUUUAUUGAAGACUAACUACUGCGAAAGCAUUUGCCAAGGAUGUUUUCAUUAAUCAAGAACGAAAGUUAGGGGAUCGAAGACGAUCAGAUACCGUCGUAGUCUUAACCAUAAACUAUGCCGACUAGGGAUCGGAUGAUGUUGAUUUUUUAAUGACUCAUUCGGCGCCUUACGGGAAAC
rnacentral:rRNA from 1 species